rnacentral:lncRNA from 1 species
ACUAUCUCCAAACAGACCAAACCGAGCUUCCACUUGUGCCUCUUCAGCUAAGAGUACAAUCAGGUGUGUCCAAAAUGGUUUGUUAGAGUAUGGUGCAUUAGGCACAAACCGUGCACCUAUCUUGCACCGAAACUAACACUAUCUCCAAACAGACCAAGACGAGAUUACAUAUGACACAUGACAUCUAGGAGUUCCAUCAGGUGCGUCCAAAUUGGUUUCCAAGCAUAUGGUACAUUCCAUGCAAACCAUGCACCUAUCUUGCCUCAAGAUUAGCAGUAUCUCCAAAC